rnacentral:sRNA from 1 species
AUGGUCAUUGUAGUCUGUAGGGUUUCGAACGGGUUGGGUGGGUUAAGAGACUUUCAUUUCCUUUCUUUGUGAGCUGCAGUGGUGCCGUCGGGAGAGAGAGCGAGCGAGCAGAGAGAGAAUAGAGACAGGGAGGGAGAGAGAGAGAUUUGGUGAGAGGAAGGCAUGCGGCUUGCAGGCAGACAGAGUCACAGGGGGUGUACGAUUGGAGGGAGAGAAAGGGGUUGGUUUCGAAAGCUCUACCUAGGGUUGUUCCUGCAAGAUUUCAACAGCGUUUUCCCUCUUCUCCACUAUUUUCCUUCAUUCCCUUUUCUCUGAACCAGAAACCUAGAUUCCUCUUCUCGAGUCCCUCCCAGUGUGGAACCCCCGCCACCACCAGGUGCCACAGCUGCGUCAAAGGUUUGCGUGUUGAAUUUCACAUCAACGGCAUCUCCCUAUAACCUAGGAGCUUGGUUCCGAUCGGGCGAUUCCGGAGGACCUGCCAUCGAGAUCUAUAGAGGAUGAUGAAAGCUUUUCGUCAUUGAUCUUUGGAGAAACAGAGGCAUGCAUAUAAAAGAUAGCUCCACGAUUGGCUAACAUGAAUCUUGGUAUCUUCAUAUGCAUGCAAUGUUCAGGGAUCCACAGUAGUCUUGGGGUACAUAUAUCAAAGGUGAGAUCUGCCACUUUGGAUACAUGGCUCCCAGAGCAGGUUGCAUAUAUCCAAUGGUGAAAACGAGUGAGGAAUGACAUGGGAAGAGGGGAGAAAGAGGACAAAAGAAUGGUUUCUGCUACUUUCAAUGCUUUGGGUUAAAAAAAUAAAAAGAGUAUGCGGUGUGGAAGCACACCAGCGAGGCCUUACUUACGAUGUCGAACUCAAAUGUGGCUGUAAUCUAACCCCUCAAAUUCCAACAUAGCAUGUAGGAAUGCUAACGUUUCCUGUGUGAUCUUCAUACAAAGGUGCAAGACAUAUGAGCUUUUAAUCAAGAAGGACAUGAUACGACUACUGUAUUAUUUUACUUAUUGUAUAGUGCUUCAGAGAGAAGAGUAGAGACAAUUAGUUCUCAUUAGAGUUCUCAUUUGUAGAUCGAUUGGUAGGCCUUUGUAUCCAACUAUUUUUAGCGGCUUCUACCAUGAAACUCAGAUACUCUCUUGGUUUCUUCCUUAUGCACACGAGGUAAUUCCACGAGGUUAUUCUGAGCAGAGAGUACUCAAGGAGGGCAUGUUUGAGGACCUGAGCUUGGCCAACAAGCAGCUCCGGUUUGUUUUGAGAUUUUUAAUGGUGUGCUUUCUCUUGAAUCGGCGAGAGAUGGUCUGGCAGCUGCUCAAUCAGCUCAGAGUCUUGGUUGAUGAGUGCAAGAGGACCUUCCAGCCAUGGGUAAUGAAAAGGGAAACAGUUAUUGGAAAAAAGAAUUGCCACCAAAUUUUGACAGAAGUGGGACAGAGGAAUUUAUUCGUGCCAAAUAUGAGGGAAAACUGUGGGUUGCGAAGAAUGCAAAGCAACCAGUUCCUCUCUUAAUUCUGAUUUGUGAAGGAGCCCGUGCUUUUCCUCAAAUCGACGUUGUCUUACUUGAUAAACGGCGGCACGAUCGAAGUCCCUCACCCUCUGUUAUCGUUGGACCAUGAGGUGGCGGUGAUCAUCUCUCAGAAAGCUCGCAAUGUUCCGCAAUCCACCGCCAUGGAUUACGUUGCGGGUUAUGCACUUGCUUUGGAUAUGACUGCCAGAGAAAUUCAAGCUUCUGCUAAGAUAAAAUCUACAGAGAUUAGAAAGAGAAAAAGGGCAAAGGAAAGCUACGGUGACUCUCGGAAGAUGGUUCAAGUCUCUGUUGGAGGGGAGAAUCAGACCAUUGAGUGGGCUAUACAACUAACAGUUGCUCUGAACAUUGCCAAAGCAUUAGAUCACUGCAGCAGCGAAUGCCGCCCAUUGUACCAUGACUUAAAUGCAUACAUGGAUCACUUUGAUAAGAGUUGGCUUCAUUUCAGUCCAGUAACUCUCUAAAUAGGUCCAAUAACUCACUAAAUAGGCAAGUCGAGAAGAAUUCAGCGUUGCACGCCUUUUUUGCUUAUUUGAUUGUAUUUGUGGUUUCCUGGGGACGAACAAAUCCUCUCCUUAAACGUUGAUUCUCAGACGAAUCACAUUUCUGAUGACCUCUGGGAGAGAAUGAUUAGUUGGAGGUUUAAGCUUUUGAUAAGAUACAAAUUGAAACAUUAAUUUGUGUUUGUGUGUUUAUCUCUAUAUAUAUACAUAUGUGUAAUCAUUUGCUGCUCUACUUAAUCAUCAUAUUUUUUAUUUGGGUUUCUGAAGUUCCGGGACGAGUUCACCGCGA